UACGUAGGGUGCAAGCGUUAAUCGGAAUUACUGGGCGUAAAGCGUGCGCAGGCGGUUAUGCAAGACAGAUGUGAAAUCCCCGGGCUUAACCUGGGAACCGCAUUUGUGACUGCAUAGCUGGAGUACGGCAGAGGGGGAUGGAAUUCCGCGUGUAGCAGUGAAAUGCGUAGAUAUGCGGAGGAACACCGAUGGCGAAGGCAGUCCCCUGGGCCUGUACUAACGCUCAUGCACGAAGGCUAGGGGAGCAAACGGG
rnacentral:rRNA from 1 species